CACGGCCCAGACUCCUACGGGAGGCAGCAGUGGGGAAUAUUGCACAAUGGGCGAAAGCUGAUGCAGCGACGCCGCGUGGGGGAUGACGGCCUUCGGGUUGUAAACCCCUUUCGACAGGGACGAAGCGCAAGUGACGGUACCUGUAGAAGAAGCACCGGCCAACUACGUGCCAGCAGCCGCGGUAAUACGUAGGGUGCGAGCGUUGUCCGGAAUUACUGGGCGUAAAGAGCUUGUAGGCGGUCUGUCGCGUCUUCUGUGAAAACUUGGGGCUCAACCUUAAGCUUGCAGGGGAUACGGGCAGACUAGAGUACUUCAGGGGAGACUGGAAUUCCUGGUGUAGCGGUGAAAUGCGCAGAUAUCAGGAGGAACACCGGUGGCGAAGGCGGGUCUCUGGGAAGUAACUGACGCUGAGAAGCGAAAGCAUGGGUAGCAAACAGGAUUAGAUACCCUGGUAGUCCAUGCCGUAAACGGUGGGUACUAGGUGUGGGUUUCCUUCCACGGGAUCCGUGCCGUAGCUAACGCAUUAAGUACCCCGCCUGGGGAGUACGGCCGCAAGGCUAAAACUCAAAGGAAUUGACGGGGGCCCGCACAAGCGGCGGAGCAUGUGGAUUAAUUCGAUGCAACGCGAAGAACCUUACCUGGGUUUGACAUACACCGGAAACCUGCAGAGAUGUAGGCCCCCUUGUGGUCGGUGUACAGGUGGUGCAUGGCUGUCGUCAGCUCGUGUCGUGAGAUGUUGGGUUAAGUCCCGCAACGAGCGCAACCCUUAUCUUAUGUUGCCAGCGCGUAAUGGCGGGGACUCGUGAGAGACUGCCGGGGUCAACUCGGAGGAAGGUGGGGACGACGUCAAGUCAUCAUGCCCCUUAUGUCCAGGGCUUCACACAUGCUACAAUGGCCGGUACAGAGGGCUGCGAUACCGUGAGGUGGAGCGAAUCCCUUAAAGCCGGUCUCACCAUUGAUCGGGGUCUGCAACUCGACCCCGUGAAGUGGAGUCGCUAGUAAUCGCAGAUCAG
rnacentral:rRNA from 3 species